rnacentral:rRNA from 1 species
GACGGAGGAUGCAAGUGCUAUCCGGAAUCACUGGGCGUAAAGCGUCUGUAGGUUGUUUAAAAAGUCUGCAGUUAAAGGUUGAAGCUUAACUUCAAAAAUGCCGUAGAAACUUUUAAACUAGAGGAUGGUAGGGGUAGAGGGAAUUUCCGGUGGAGCGGUGAAAUGCGUAGAGAUCGGAAAGAACACCAACGGCGAAAGCACUCUGCUGGGCCGACACUGACACUGAGAGACGAAAGCUAGGGGAGCGAAUGGG